rnacentral:sRNA from 1 species
AGACCUCAGAAGACCUCCUGUCCUAUCAGGCCCUCCCCAUGGCUUUAGAGACGGUCUGCCGACCCUCUGGGAGAAAAUCCAGCAAGAUGCAAGCCUUCAGAAUCUGGGAUGUUAACCAGAAGACCUUCUAUCUGAGGAACAACCAACUAGUGGCUGGAUACUUGCAAGGACCAAAUGUCAAUUUAGAAGGUGAGUGGUUGCCAGGAAAGCCAAUGUAUGUGGGCAUUGCGUCACUUUGCCCCUCUGUCUGCAGCAGCAUGGCCUGCCUGCACAAACCCUAGGUGCAAUGUCCUAAUCCUUGUUGGGUCUUUGUAUUCAAGUUUGAAGCUGGGAGGGCCUGGCUACUAAAGGGCACAUAUGAGGGCAGCCUGAAGAGGGUGUGGAGAGGUAGAGUCUAGGUCAGGGGUCAGUGCCUAUAGGCACAGUGGUCCCAGGGCCACAGCUGGGAAGGGCAAAUACCCGAAGGCAAGGUUGACUAUUCCCUUCCUCAAGUGCCUAUUAAGGCUCCAUGUUCCUAUGUUGUUCAAACCCUAACUCAAUCCCGAAUUAAUCCACCAUGUAUAAGGUUGAGCUAUGUCUCUUAUUCCUGGACACCAUACUCAGCCAUAUUCUGGUCCGUGCAUUAAACAAGCUGGAUGACCUUGAA